ACGUACACUCCUGCGGGAGGCAGCAUUGGGGAAUAUUGGACAAUGGGCGCAAGCCUGAUCCAGCCAUGCCGCGUGAGUGAUGAAGGCCCUAGGGUUGUAAAGCUCUUUCACCGGUGAAGAUAAUGACGGUAACCGGAGAAGAAGCCCCGACUAACUUCGUGCCAGCAGCCGCGGUAAUACGAAGGGGGCUAGCGUUGUUCGGAUUUACUGGGCGUAAAGCGCACGUAGGCGGACUAUUAAGUCAGGGGUGAAAUCCCGGGGCUCAACCCCGGAACUGCCUUUGAUACUGGUAGUCUUGAGUUCGAGAGAGGUGAGUGGAAUUCCGAGUGUAGAGGUGAAAUUCGUAGAUAUUCGGAGGAACACCAGUGGCGAAGGCGGCUCACUGGCUCGAUACUGACGCUGAGGUGCGAAAGCGUGGGGAGCAAACAGGAUUAGAAACCCUUGUAGUCCCAUGAU
rnacentral:rRNA from 1 species